GCUACGGGAGGCAGCAGUGAGGAAUAUUGGUCAAUGGGCGCGAGCCUGAACCAGCCAAGUAGCGUUAAGGAUGACUGCCCUACGGGUUGUAAACUUCUUUUAUAAAGGAAUAAAGUGAGGCACGUGUGCCUUUUUGUAUGUAAUUUAUGAAUAAGGAUCGGCUAACUCCGUGCCAGCAGCCGCGGUAAUCCGGAGAAUCCGAGCGUUAUCCGGAUUUAUUGGGUUUAAAGGGAGCGUAGAUGGGUUGUUAAGUCAGUUGUGAAAGUUUGCGGCUCAACCGUAAAAUUGCAAUUGAUACUGGCAGCCUUGAGUACAGUUGAGGUAGGCGGAAUUCGUGGUGUAGCGGGGAAAUGCUUAGAUAUCACGAAGAACUCCGAUUGCGAAGGCAGCUUACUAAACUGCAACUGACAUUGAUGCUCGAAAGUGUGGGUAUCAAACAGGAUUAGAUACCCGAGUAGUC
rnacentral:rRNA from 1 species